CGGGGUGAGUAACGCGUGAGGAACCUGCCUCAGAGAGGGGGAUAACACACCGAAAGGUGUGCUAAUACCGCAUAACAUAUGAGAGGGGCAUCCCUUUUAUAUCAAAGAUUUAUUGCUCUGAGAUGGCCUCGCGUCCAAUUAGCUAGUUGGUGAGGUAACGGCCCACCAAGGCGACGAUUGGUAGCCGGACUGAGAGGUUGAACGGCCACAUUGGGACUGAGACACGGCCCAGACUCCUACGGAAGGCAGCAG
rnacentral:rRNA from 1 species